rnacentral:piRNA from 1 species
UAUCAGACAAGAGAUAGGAGUGGG